rnacentral:lncRNA from 1 species
GGGGAUCGUCUGCCUGGCUCUUGCCAGGACUCAUUAAUUUCAUAUUAACUUCAGAGAUAAUAUUGUGGUAUACUAAAACCACAUAUUCAAAUCUUUUACAAUGCCAAGUUUAAUACAAAACUUCAACCAUAAUAUGAUACUAAAGGAUUUACAAUUACAAAAGUCUUCACAUUAACUCCCUAAGAUCCCUCGUUCAUUCCCCUACCACCAACUCCUGUAAGGAAAACAAAGCUGAGGGGAUGAGCUUACGCCCAGUGAGGUUUCCAUGCAAGCAACGAUCAAUAAACACUUAAACCAGAUAAGCCAGUAACAAAAUUAAGCAACUAAGGAACACUUCACUGAAUAAAGUAGAGAACACUUCAUUGAACAAUCACUUUGAAAAGGAUACGGUGCUGGCAUUAGAGCCACUUCCUUCUGGGAGUUAGUUCAAUAUCAUUGCACACUCAUUUCAAUGUCAUUGUUCAUUUAUUUCAGUGUCAUGAGACACUCAUUUCAAUAUCAUUGCAUACUCCGCCAAUUCACCUCCUUAUGUCCUCCAAAAUAAUAAACAAUCCCCUGCAUUCAAUGAUUAGUUUAAUAAUCUCCCAAUUUCAAGAUAAUACUCGAGUAUAUCGAAACAUUUACCCAAAGCUUCCAUCCUAUCCGACCAAGCCCUUUGCUGGCUCGAAUAGUCCGUUGAACAGAGGGUUUUGAGGCCUAGUUCAGCCGAUGUGGUAAAGUACACACACGGCUUACAGUCAUGCACACUUACAAUAACACUUGAUCAAUUAGCAACUUUCAAGCUCAAACUAAGUCAAGUGCGAUAAAGUACACACCCGACUUAGAAGGCGAUGGACAAUUGACAUAUACUUUACAAUGAAUCACUAGCAAUAUUCCAUAAUAAGCACAUUUAUCAUAUAAUUUCAUUUAAGCAAACAUAAACAGUUAAACACAUAAAUUCGGAAACACUCACCAAAUAUCCAAAUAAAUUACUCUCGAGCCUCGGAUUUGUUUUCUGGCUCAUAGCUAUCCCCUGAGACAAUUUAUAACUCUAAAGUAAAUAUACAAUUCAUAGAUCACCACUUAUCAUUUAUUACCUUUUAUGAUUUAAACUAUUAAAGUCAAGUUUUGGCUUUAAAACAUAAAAUAUAACAUAUUUUAUAUUUAUUUUACAUUUUUUUUCAAAAUUUAUUAAUUUUAUUAUUUCAAACCAAGAAUUAUACAUUUUUCCCAAGUUUGUAUCUUUAUAUAAUAUUUAAAUCAGGAAUAUAUCUUUCUCAAUUCAAUUUUCAUUAAUUAUGGCUUAUAGACACUCCAUUUGUUCCCUUUUAAAUCAACUAAACUCUAAGUUGUUUGUAAAUUAAACUUUUUAUUCCACUACACCAGCCCCUCAAGUUCUAAAGUCUUUAAAAUAUUCAUGAAGACAAUGUUAAGUUAUUGUAGACACCAAAUUUUUAAUUUAGUUUUAUUUACUAUUAUUUUUAUUUUCAUUGAUUAAAUGUUAAUUAUUAUUAUUCAUUUUUAGUCUCUUAGUUUUUAUUUUUAGUAUUUAAAUUUCAGAAUAAGAAAAUUUUCACAAAAAAAGUUGUUUUAAUCAUUUUGGAUUCAAUUUGAAAAAUAUAUAUAAUUUUGUUUCUUUACUUAAAUAAAUUUUUGAAAGAAAAAAUACAAAAAAAAAUAAAAUAAUAAGGAAGAAUGUGUGAAUAGGUGUAAACUUGCAUGUGAGACAAGUGUCCCUUUAUGUAUUUGACAACACACCACCUAGAAGGUGAGGUGUUGAGACACUUGGAGGCCUAAGAUUUGAAGGAAAAGAAAAAACAAAAAGAAAAUAACGAAAAGGGAAGGAGAUGUGGCGGCUAGGGUAGAAAAAAAAGGCAACAAGAAGAAAAAUGGGGGGAUGCUAGAAAAAUGGGGAGCUUCGUCUGAGAGCCAAAAAAAAAAAAGAAUAGAGCAAAAGGAAAAAGAGUGAGAAAAACAGAGAAAAAAAAAGGGCGGCGGACGAGAGGGAAAAGAAGAGGAGUGCAAGAACUGAAGAACAGGGGAAGAGAAGGGGGAACCUGAGAAAUUUGGAAAGGAGCUUCAGAGCUGAAAAAAGAAAAAAAAUAGAGGGAAGGAGGGAGAAUCCGGGAAAGAAAAAGAAAGAAAAAAAAAACAGAGGGGAAGUGAAGGAACAUUAGAAGAACGAGGCGGGUUCAUCAGAAGAGCCACCGGAACCGCCGCCGCUCGCAAGAAGCUGCCACCACCUCACCGGAAUCCAUUGUCAUUGCCUACGGAUUUUCACCGAGCAAGAGGAUUGUAAGCCAUCUUUUUCCCUUUGAAUAUCAGUUUUUUUUCUUCAAGCACAAACGCUGGAAAUCCCAAAGCAUGUCUUUUGUGAAUUUGUUAUUGCAAUUUUCCUGUUGAUUGUCUAUAAUUUUUUGAUCGCACACGCUUUAUGGGUUAAUUGGACUGAAAUCCCUUGUUUUCUGACUAUUUUGGGGCUGAUUGUAACUUCAAUUAAGCAAACAAUAGGUGGAUUUUUUAAUGCCCAUUUGUUGUUCGAUGAAAUGCCUAAUUGAAAGUUUUACUUGAAAGACGGCUCAUCUGCGUUUUGCGUGUGGAAAAAAAUGAACAGAGAGCAAGUUCAAUGUUUGUCAAAACAUAAUAGUUGAUUUUCACGGUAGAAAGGAGAGUUUUUGAUCUUGAUGUGCUUGUGUGUGACACCUUUUCUGUUUUUCUGUUUCUUGUUCUUCCCUUGGUAUGAACUCAAAUUAUGUCGUAAGAUUGCAUGCGAGAGAGUUUGGGUGAGUAUUCAUUUUCUUUUGGAGGGGACCAGAGGAGUUGAAGUGCAACCUGUUGAUGUUUUUAUUCUGCGAGGAAAGGGUAAAUGGCCGCUGAUGUUCUUUUGAUCUUCAAUGGUUUAAUAUUCAUGAUUGGGUUGUGUUAAUCAAGGGGGUUGAAUUUGUUAAAGGGUCUUGUUUGCUUCGAAUUUGUUUCGUGUGGUUCCUGGGGUGAGUUAUAGAAGAAAGAAUGUAGAAGAAAGCUGCAAGAGAGCUUCGAGCAGGAUGCAUGAUAAUUUCUGAAUUUUUUAUUUUAGCCCCCAACUUUUGUCUAAUUGCAGUAUGGCCCAAAUCUUUUGUAAUUGAACCAUUCACGUCCCUAUUGAGUGUUCAUCUUCUCUUCAUAUUUUAAGUGCAUUUCUAAACAUGUUAUUUCUGUGAUUUGGGGUAUAAUUAAAUCUUAAUUUGUUUUAGUGGAUUUAUUAUCUUAUUGGGUUAUUGUAAAAUAGGUAGUUUGGGUUAAAGGUUUGUUUGGUCGGGUUUGGCUAAUGGGUUGUUAGUUUUUUUUUUUUUUUUGGGUUUUUGGCUUGGAUUUAGAAGGUAAAAGCCUACCCUUUUUGUUGGGUUUGUUUGGGGUAAGAUUAUGGUCUGACCCGUGCACUUUCCUUGGAUUUUCGUAAGGCUUGGGGUUUUCGGCCCAAACAAAUAAGAAAAGGGCCCAACAGUCUGUUAAGUCAAGAAGUCUGUGACGAUUUUUCAUUCCAGUCCCCUAAUUUUUGAGUAUUUUCACUACGGCCCUACAAACUUUUGACUUCUUCCACUUAGGUCCCUAAUUUAAUUGCAAAUUGGUCCUUGAACUUUAUCUUUCCUUCUAGUUUGGCCCUAAAGGUUCUAGAAAUCAUGAUUUGGCCCUAAAAACUUUCUGAUAUUUGUGAUUUGGUCCUUGGCAGAUUUAAUUUUGCAACUUCAUUGCUUGUUUGCUUCAAUUAGCCACCAUAUUUUGUUUAAACUGCAUUUAAUUCAUAAUUUUAAGGGCUUUAUGACCAAUUGAGCUUGUGUUUGCAUAUUUUCUUCAGUUUUCUCAAUUAAAGUGAUGCCUUGAUUCUUUCUUUGUUUUUGGAGGGUAAAUAAGUAAUUUCACUUCAUUAGGGUUUCAACUCAAGGGAGGUACACUCUAUCCCUUAUUUUGACUUUAUUUGAUCCUAUGUGCCCUAUGUGACUCUAUGUGCUUAAUUGCUUACCUUUUGAAUGUUUUCAUUUCAUUUAUUUAUUUAUUCGCUUUAUUUGUUUUAAUUUUGUAUACUUAUUUCAAUGUAAUUAUUUGAAAGGCAUUCAAAGGCCAAAGUUGUAAUAGUUAAGGGUUUAUUUAUUUUUAUUUUUCCCCUUUUAGAUUGUAGUAGGGCCCCCCAAUAUAAUAGUUAGGGCUUGUUUGCUUUAUUUGCUUGGUAUGUUUUGCAUGCUUAUGUGUUAUGUAUUAUCCGCUUUUUUAGGGCCUUGCAUCUAGAUAUCAUACUUAUGUGUUAUGUGCUAUACGUGAUUUAUGUGUUUACAUGCUUUUAUUAGGUCUUACAUGAUUUAUUUGAUUAUAACAAAUGCAUGUCGUCACUACACUAGUCCAACACUAGUUGUGACCCCCUUUCCCGAAUCCACACUAGUCCAACGCUAGUUGUGGCUCAUUGUUCUGAUUUUUCACUAGUCCAAUGCUAGUAGGAAUUCAUAGAUAUGAGCUAGUCCAACGCUAGACCCUUAGGAGCCCUUCGAGCGUUAGAUCAUGAUUGUGUGAUAAAAUCAUUUCAUCUCAUGCAUAUUUUUCACUUUCUAAGGUCUUUUAUCAUUUUUUGCAUGUUCCCCUUAUAUAUAUCCCCUAUCCCACAUUCCCUCUUAUAUUCGUAUCCCCUAUUUUUAUUUUUCCUUUAUAUAAAUCCUAUGUAUGAGACAUGACAUUAGAUUUGCAUUUCAUGUAGGGAAAAUUAGAGAUAGGUUAAUACAUUUGUUUGAUUAGAUUAGGAAAAACCCCUUGAGUAUGGGAUGUGGACAAGUUUGAUUUUCUAACCUUAGCACGCUCAUAUUCCCUCUGUUAAAGGGAAAAUUGAGUCACGAACAUUAGUCCCCCGUACCUGACAUGAUGCAUUUCUUUAGGACAUGUAUAUUUGUAUAAUUAUGAUUAUUUUUAUUAUUUUCCUUCCCUUUUCUUAGAGUCUCAUGUUUUUGCAUUAUUCGUGACUUCUUCGAAGAGUCUUUAUUGGGCAUCACAAUUAAUGUGAUUGGUAUCAAGUAAGUUUUGAAAAUAUAUUUCGACCCCUCGACACCCUCUUAGGUUUAGGGUUUGCAUUCAUAUAGUACGUCCAAAUGUGAUAAAUGCUUAGAUUAAAGAUAAGAAAAUCUUUGACUAAAUCACGCAACUAGUUUUGGCUAGGUUGAAAGGGUGUUUUGGAUUUUGUCCUUGCCUUCCCUUUCUUCAAAUGUGACUCCUGAACACGUUUCUUUGAUUUUCGUAAACUUGGAGUCGUUUAAAAAGGAUUUUUAACUUUUUCUUUAAAAAUUCAUUUUUAGGUGACUUGGUACACCUUAACUUUAUACCAAGUGGCGACUCCGAUUUUUAUUCAAAAAUCAUUUUUAAACUAUAAUUUGGGCCUUUCUUCAAAUGUGACUCCCGAACACGUUUCUUUGAUUUUCGUAGACUUGGAGUCGUUUAAAAAGGGUUUUCUACUUUUUCUUUAAAAAUUCAUUUUUGGGUGACUUGGUACACCUUAACUCUAUACCAAGUGGCGACUCCGAUUUUUAUUCAAAAAUCAUUUUUAAACUAUAAUUUGGGCCCAAAUCGUCGCAUUACAAAUCCCAUUUAGGCUCAUUUUCUUUUAAAUCAAAAAUUCAUUUUCCAAUCAAGAAUUGAAUUAAAAUUCAUUUUUUUAAACCAUUUAUUUUUCUUAUUUUUAAAAAAAUGGGAUGCCACAGUUUUUAGCAGCCGUUUGAUGUAUAUAACUACAACAAAUUACUUUGGAGUUUCCAAAACAUCAUGGAAGGCAUAACUAAUUACCAUUUCAGCUAGCAACAAUAUUCCAGCAAUAUUACUUCGGAUUUUCAAAAAAACUCCAUUCUUUUACUUGCUUACAGCUCUAAGCACUAAAUGUACAUUCGGUACAGUUUAAUCCAAGACAAAUAACACCUAGUUUCAACAACUUAUUCGAUCAAAUGUCAUUCUCAAAAUCUGUCAUCAUCAUUUGCAUUAGUCGUUAGCUCUUCCAACAGUAUGGCAGCUUAAAUUUGCAGCCUUUACUCCCUAAUUGCUUCGGUUAACUCUAACUUAUGGUGCCAAACACGUUUGCUAAUCACAGAGCAGUUUUAGCUAUCAUCUGUGCAAGUUUAUGGUGUCAGAAAUUGGAGGAAAUGUUGUUCCAGAAUUUAUUUCCCUCUCUCUCAACAUCACAGCAGGUUGCAUCAGCUUCCUUUUACCAAGUUUAGCUAGACUUCCUGAAAUUUUCUGACUUCCUAAGGCUCCUAUCUGUUCGGUCAAAGGUUUAACAAAUUUUCCAUGUAUUCAUUAAUAAGAGUUCCAGAAUCAGCAACAACAAUUGCACAGCCUGCUUCAUUCCCUCGGCCAACUACCUGCAAUCAGUUAAGUGUAUUUGUCCUGUUAUGUUCAUUCUAGUUUCUACUUGUUUCUUGCUCGUUGAAGUUUAAGGUCUGUGUGAUAUGUUACAACUUACUACACAGGCCUAGAAACUAAGGGUUGCAGGGAACAACUAGAAUCUCUUAUCUGUUCUGCUCAAUCAAAACCAACAGGUUUUGAAAGGUAGUGAUUUUGCAGCUGGUGCUUCCUUUUUUAUUCUCCCUCAGUUUAUAUCCUAGCUAAACUUAUAGAAUGUAUUGAUUUAACUGCAAGUUAUCCUAAGCCAAACAUGACAGUUUAUGGUUAGGAUUCAAAAGGAAACUGGAUUAUGUCUUAGGUCGGCGCAUGGCUGCAAAUUCUGAUGCACAGCAACCUGCAUCAGGUUUCUUUCCUCAGUCGAAGCUCAGUUUCUCUACUCAAACACUACUUGCAGCUUAUUCAUUCAUUCAUUUUUACCGAAUCAGCAUGAGGUUAUUGCAGAUUCUUAACAUUAUCAUCCCAAGAAAUAUUAAGAACAGUUACAAGUUCCAGUUUCUGCAAUUUCGCUUUUCUUGCAGUUUUACAAUUCCUGCACGACAUUUACUUCAGCAAAAAGCUCAAAUUCCUAGCUAAAUUUAACAUGCAGCUAGAGUUUAUCCAAUUAUACCAACUAAGCAGUGAGUUGUUAUAAGAUCUUACCUCUUUCCCCCUAAAGUUCGAUGUUGCAGGGUGCUCAAGUUUCUGUUUCAGCUCCUCAAGUCCUAACACUCGAUUCUCCCGUUUUCCUUACCUUCGUUUGCUUGAUUGUGGUUAGCUGAUGAAGAAGCUAGCCAAAUUGUCCUUCCCUCACACUCUAUUCCACUCCCUCGGUUCUGUUUUGUAGAGAUUGAAAGAAAGAGAGAAAGGAAGAGCUGUCUAGUUUCUUUGCUCUCGGUCACCGCCCAACUAAUGAAUCAGUUUCUAUUUGCUCCACUCAGUCACCGCUUAAACUUAGCAGAUGAUUUCUCUUUGUUUUCUCUCGGGUCUUAUUGAUUAAGAAUGACAAGAUUGUUUCCAUUCGGUGGCUAGUGGCAG